CUUUCUCUUGUUCUUGGUACGUGUGCAGUAAACUAGGAACACAGCAAAUAAGGGAGAUAAGAAACAGACAGGACAGCCUGAGAGCUAGUUUGCUUGACGAACCCAACAAUCUCAACUGGAAUUUCUUAGGUCUUUUUAAGGAAUAAUGAGCAGUCCUUCAAAGCAGCAUACCGAUUUUGUCAAGAGCGCCAUUGGACAAAAACUGGUUACCGAGCUACCGGGAAUAGGUUCUGUUACUGGGAAAAAGCUGAAUGAUGCUGGAAUUACCCGAGUGUAUCAGGUUUUUGGCCAGUUUCUUGUCUUAAAUAAAGAUCGCGAAAAGUUCUACAAGUGGCUGGGAGGCUUCGGAGCGAAUGAUGGCCAAUGCAAAGCAUGUUUCGACGCCUUGGACGAUUGGAGCAAAAACCACUUGGACUGACGAUUAGAACUAUUCUUUACUAGAUCUGUAGUUACAACGCCUUUGUACUAUUUACAUUGAGUUUGUACUGUAAACGGUGUUCGCUCUCUCUUGAGAAUAAAACUAGUGAUGUAAACACCUCUAAA